CCUACGGGAGGCAGCAGUGAGGAAUAUUGGUCAAUGGACGAGAGUCUGAACCAGCCAAGUCGCGUGAAGGAUGACUGCCCUAUGGGUUGUAAACUUCUUUUAUAUGGGAAUAAAAUGUUCCACGUGUGGGAUUUUGUAUGUACCAUAUGAAUAAGGAUCGGCUAACUCCGUGCCAGCAGCCGCGGUAAUACGGAGGAUCCGAGCGUUAUCCGGAUUUAUUGGGUUUAAAGGGAGCGUAGGUGGCUUGUUAAGUCAGUUGUGAAAGUUUGCGGCUCAACCUUAAAAUUGCAGUUGAAACUGGCAGUCUUGAGUACAGUAGAGGUGGGCGGAAUUCGUGGUGUAGCGGUGAAAUGCUUAGAUAUCACGAAGAACUCCGAUUGCGAAGACAGUUCACUGGACUGCAACUGACACUGAGGCUCGAAAGUGUGGGUAUCAAACAGGAUUAGAUACCCCAGUAGUC
rnacentral:rRNA from 1 species